GUUGGUGACAGCAGAUGAAAUGGGGAUAGAUUGUCCAGAAAAGGUGAUGGUGGUUAUGGGGGAUGAUUGGACCUGGUGGGGGGUGCCAAUAAGUAUGGCUUCGGAUUUGGAGCAGUUUAAUUGAAGGAAAUUUUGGCUCAUCCACGCCUUCAUCUCCUCCAGGCAGGUGGUGAGUGUUGAGAGAGGUGAUGGAGCAGUUGAUCCAUCAGUGUUGAUCCAUCAGUGUUAAUACAACUCUCAGAGAGUCAAUCUAAGCUCCGCCCAGGUCCCCUGCACAUUUCACCUCCUCGGUUGGAGACACAGAGACAAGCUGGCUAAUUCUUCUCCUUUCAUGUGAUUUUAGACGCUUACAGCCAUGAUACUGCAUGACUGUUUCUGACACAUCACAAACUCCAGACUGAAGAUCAUCAUGCUGCAGUCUGGAGACGCAUCUCUGCAACCAGCUAAGUUACCACCUGUACCUCCUCCCUGUUGGACAUCAGAAGAGCAAGACUGACAGGCCUGCGUCAUCAUGGAUAAGCAUCUCAUCCUAUGCCAGGCAAACUGUGCUCUCAUGGCAUUUGAUGAACUUUUCAAAGCAUAUUUUGUGUUGGAUUUGUCUUAUGUUUGUAUAUGUUUUAUGGUUUAA